CUGUAAGCCUGCGAAGGUGGCCUGUGAGGGUUGCUGGAGGUAUCAGAAGUGCGAAUGCUGACAUAAGUAACGAUAAAGCGGGUGAAAAGCCCGCUCGCCGGAAGACCAAGGGUUCCUGUCCAACGUUAAUCGGGGCAGGGUGAGUCGACCCCUAAGGCGAGGCCGAAAGGCGUAGUCGAUGGGAAACGGGUUAAUAUUCCCGUACUUGGUGUUACUGCGAAGGGGGGACGGAGAAGGCUAUGUUGGCCGGGCGACGGUUGUCCCGGUUUAAGCGUGUAGGUGUGUGUUCCAGGUAAAUCCGGUUCACUUUAACACUGAGGCGUGACGACGAGGCACUACGGUGCUGAAGCAACAAAUGCCCUGCUUCCAGGAAAAGCCUCUAAGCAUCAGGUAACAUCAAAUCGUACCCCAAACCGACACAGGUGGUCAGGUAGAGAAUACCAAGGCGCUUGAGAGAACUCGGGUGAAGGAACUAGGCAAAAUGGUGCCGUAACUUCGGGAGAAGGCACGCUGACACGUAGGUGAAGUGAUUUACUCAUGGAGCUGAAGUCAGUCGAAGAUACCAGCUGGCUGCAACUGUUUAUUAAAAACACAGCACUGUGCAAACACGAAAGUGGACGUAUACGGUGUGACGCCUGCCCGGUGCCGGAAGGUUAAUUGAUGGGGUCAGCGCAAGCGAAGCUCCUGAUCGAAGCCCCGGUAAACGGCGGCCGUAACUAUAACGGUCCUAAGGUAGCGAAAUUCCUUGUCGGGUAAGUUCCGACCUGCACGAAUGGCGUAAUGAUGGCCAGGCUGUCUCCACCCGAGACUCAGUGAAAUUGAACUCGCUGUGAAGAUGCAGUGUACCCGCGGCAAGACGGAAAGACCCCGUGAACCUUUACUAUAGCUUGACACUGAACAUUGAGCCUUGAUGUGUAGGAUAGGUGGGAGGCUUUGAAGUGUGGACGCCAGUCUGCAUGGAGCCGACCUUGAAAUACCACCCUUUAAUGUUUGAUGUUCUAACGUGGACCCGUUACCCGGGUUGCGGACAGUGUCUGGUGGGUAGUUUGACUGGGGCGGUCUCCUCCUAAAGAGUAACGGAGGAGCACGAAGGUUGGCUAAUCCUGGUCGGACAUCAGGAGGUUAGUGCAAUGGCAUAAGCCAGCUUGACUGCGAGCGUGACGGCGCGAGCAGGUGCGAAAGCAGGUCAUAGUGAUCCGGUGGUUCUGAAUGGAAGGGCCAUCGCUCAACGGAUAAAAGGUACUCCGGGGAUAACAGGCUGAUACCGCCCAAGAGUUCAUAUCGACGGCGGUGUUUGGCACCUCGAUGUCGGCUCAUCACAUCCUGGGGCUGAAGUAGGUCCCAAGGGUAUGGCUGUUCGCCAUUUAAAGUGGUACGCGAGCUGGGUUUAGAACGUCGUGAGACAGUUCGGUCCCUAUCUGCCGUGGGCGCUGGAGAACUGAGGGGGGCUGCUCCUAGUACGAGAGGACCGGAGUGGACGCAUCACUGGUGUUCGGGUUGUCAUGCCAAUGGCACUGCCCGGUAGCUAAAUGCGGAAGAGAUAAGUGCUGAAAGCAUCUAAGCACGAAACUUGCCCCGAGAUGAG
rnacentral:rRNA from 1 species